rnacentral:lncRNA from 1 species
GCUCUCACAGAGCCCGGAUGUAGUCAGCCUUGCCCAGCAGCCUCCAGGAGUUCCUGUGCACCCUAUUUUUCUCAAUACCACAGUAUCACUAAAGGUCUGAACUGGAACAUAUCAAGAAGACACACGAGAAGGUCAAGGUGAUGGAGCUCUUGGCUGGUUAUCCACCUCACAAAGAGCCAAUCAGCAAAGCUUGAAUGACCUGUGUUUUCAUCUCUGACUCCUCUGCUCGGAGGCAUCAGUAAGUAGGUAGGUCCCAACUUCCCCAGGAAGUGAAGCUGUUCAUACUCACAAAGCAUAUUCUGUGAAGCCCCUGGAUCUGUAGCGUGAGUCAGGCCCACCACGUGACAAAGCCUCUGAUGGAGGCUGGGCGCC